rnacentral:rRNA from 1 species
ACAUGUAUGUAGAAUAGCAUUAAUUCAUUGGAUCCCAUUAGAACGCCACAGUUAAGCGUGCUCAAGCUAGAGUAGUAUUGGGAUGGAUGACUUCCCAAGAAGUCCUAGUGUUUUACAUGCC